UACAGAGGGUGCAAGCGUUGCUCGGAAUCAUUGGGCGUAAAGGGUGAGUAGGUGGUCUCGUUUGUCUAGGGUGAAAUCCUUGAGCUUAACUCAAGAAGUGCCCUGGAAACGGCGAGACUAGAGUGCAGAAGAGGAAAGUGGAAUUCCACGUGUAGCGGUGAAAUGCGUAGAGAUGUGGAGGAACACCAGUGGCGAAGGCGACUUUCUGGGCUGUAACUGACGCUGAGGCGCGAAAGCGUGGGGAGCAAACAGG
rnacentral:rRNA from 1 species